GACGAACGCUGGCGGCGUGCUUAACACAUGCAAGUCGCACGAGUGGCGAACGGGUGAGUAACACGUGGGUGACCUGCCCUGCACUUCGGGAUUAGCCUGGGAAACUGUGUCUACUACCGGAUAGUGUGGGAUGGGCCCGCGGCCUUUGAGCUUGUUGGUGGGGUAAUGGCUACCAAGGCGCGACGGGUAGCCGGCCUGAGAGGGUGGACGGCCACAUUGGGACUGAGACACGGCCCAGACUCCUACGGGAGGCAGCAGUGGGGAAUAUUGCGCAAUGGGGGCAACCCUGACGCAGCCAUGCCGCGUGAAUGAAGAAGGCCUUCGGGUUGUAAAGUUCUUUCGGUAUUGAGGCGUUAAAUACAGAAGGAGCACCGGCUAACUCCGUGCCAGCAGCCGCGGUAAUAC
rnacentral:rRNA from 1 species